rnacentral:rRNA from 1 species
CCGCACGAGCGCACCCUUGCCCUAUGUUGCCAGCGGAUCAUGCCGGGGACUCAUGGGGGACUGCCGGUGAUAAACCGGAGGAAGGUGGGGACGACGUCAAGUCAUCAUGGCCCUUACGCCCAGGGCUACACACGUGCUACAAUGGCCGGCACAAAGGGCUGCCAACCUGCGAAGGUGGGCGAAUCCCAAAAAGCCGGUCUAAGUUCGGAUUGUAGUCUGCAACUCGACUGCAUGAAGUCGGAAUCGCUAGUAAUCGUGUAUCAGCAACGACACGGUGAAUACGUUCCCGGGCCUUGUACACACCGCCCGUCAAGCCAUGGAAGCUGGGAGUGCCCGAAGUCUGUGACCCAACCUAGUGAGGGAGCAGCCGAAGGUAAGUUCGGUGACUGGGGCUAAGUCGUAACAAGGUAGCCGUAGGGGAACCUGCGGCUGGAUCACCUCCUUU